rnacentral:rRNA from 1 species
CCUACGGGAGGCUGCAGUGGGGAAUAUUGGGCAAUGGGCGCAAGCCUGACCCAGCAACGCCGCGUGAAGGAAGAAGGCUUUCGGGUUGUACACUUCUUUUCUCAGGGACGAAGAAAGUGACGGUACCUGAGGAAUAAGCCACGGCUAACUACGUGCCAGCAGCCGCGGAAAUACGUAGGUGGCCAGCGUUAUCCGGAUUUACUGGGUGUAAAGGGCGUGUAGGCGGGAAAGCAAGUCAGAUGUGAAAACCAUGGGCUCAACCUGUGGCCUGCAUUUGAAACUGUUUUUCUUGAGUACUGGAGAGGCAGACGGAAUUCCUAGUGUAGCGGUGAAAUGCGUAGAUAUUAGGAGGAACACCAGUGGCGAAGGCGGUCUGCUGGACAGCAACUGACGCUGAGGCGCGAAAGCGUGGGGAGCAAACAGGAUUAGAUACCCCUGUAGUC